rnacentral:rRNA from 1 species
UACGGAGGAUGCGAGCGUUAUCCGGAUUUAUUGGGUUUAAAGGGAGCGCAGACGGGUCGUUAAGUCAGCUGUGAAAGUUUGGGGCUCAACCUUAAAAUUGCAGUUGAUACUGGCGUCCUUGAGUGCGGUUGAGGUGUGCGGAAUUCGUGGUGUAGCGGUGAAAUGCUUAGAUAUCACGAAGAACUCCGAUUGCGAAGGCAGCACACUAAGCCGUAACUGACGUUCAUGCUCGAAAGUGUGGGUAUCAAACAGGAUUAGAUACCCUGGUAGUGCUGACUGACU